rnacentral:rRNA from 1 species
AUUGAACGCUGGCGGCAGGCCUAACACAUGCAAGUCGAGCGACCGGCGGACGGGUGAGGACUGGCAGGGAACCUGCCUGAUGGAGGGGGAGAACUACUGGGAACGGUAACUAAGCCUGCAUACAAUCAGACGUGGCUAGGUGGGAUUAGCUAGUGGGUGGGGUAACGGCUCACCUAGGCGACGAUCCCUAGCUGGUCUGAGAGGAUGACCAGCCACCCUGGAACUGAGACACGGUCCAGACUCCUACGGGAGGCAGCAGUGGGGAAUAUUGCACAAUGGGCGCAAGCCUGAUGCAGCCAUGCCGCGUGUGUGAAGAAGGCCUUCGGGUUGUAAAGCACUUUCAGCGGGGAGGCGUUACCCGCAGAAGAAGCACCGGCUAACUCCGUGCCAGCCGCCGCGGUAAUAC